rnacentral:piRNA from 1 species
UGGAAACCAAAGCAGGACUAAUUGGUGGCC